UGAGGCUCAUACUUUUUUAGUAUAAUAGUACAAGUGACUUCCAAUCACUAAGUCAUCGAUUAACUCUGA
rnacentral:tRNA from 1 species